GGACUACGACGGUAUCUGAUCGUCUUCGAUCCCCUAACUUUCGUUCUUGAUUAAUGGAAACGUCCUUGGCAAAUGCUUUCGCAGUAGUUCGUCUUUAACAAAUCUAAGAAUUUCACCUCUGACAGUUAAAUACGAAUGCCCCCAACCGUUCCUAUUAACCAUUACUAAGGUUCAAUAACCAACAAAAUAGAACCAAAGUCCUACUCUAUUAUUCCAUGCUGAAGUAUUCAAGACAAAAGUCUGCUUGAAACACUCUAAUUUUCUCAAAGUAAAAAGGGAAAUUCCCAAAAGCGAAAACGAAAUAACCAACCAAAUGGUCAAACCGUCAACGCAAAAAUACAACUACGAGCUUUUUAACUGCAACAAGUUUAAUAUACGCUAUUGGAGCUGGAAUUACCGCGGCUGCUGGCACCAGACUUGCCCUCCAAUUGCUACUCUGGUGAGGGUUUGGGUCACCAUCAUUCA
rnacentral:rRNA from 1 species